rnacentral:tRNA from 2 species
GCCCGGUUAGCUCAGUUGGUAGAGCAUCAGACUUUUAAUCUCAGGGCCAUGGGUUCGAGUCCCAUAUCGGGCU